GCGGAUGUGGCGGAAUUGGUAGACGCGCCAGACUUAGGAUCUGGUGAAAAAGUUCGUGAGAGUUCAAGUCUCUCCAUCUGCA
rnacentral:tRNA from 1 species